rnacentral:lncRNA from 13 species
AUGCUAAAAGAAGUACUAUGGGACAUCCAUCUUUCCAAACAUUCUGUGACACUCUCACUGCUCUCCAGAAAGAGUCAGGAUAUCUGGGCAUACACUAUAACCAGGAGUGAAAAUGCUGGAUCCUAAGGUAGCUCCAUGUUCGAUCAUCUGAAGAGAUUCCUCUCUGGUUUUCAAAGAGGCUGAAUCAUUUUACAUUCUCACCGGCAGUGUGUAAGAAUUCCCAUUUCUCCAUAUCCUCAUCAAUACUUGCUAUCUGACUUUUUAUUCUAGCCAGGUAGUGGGUAUGAAAUGGUAUGUUGAUCUUGUAACCUGCAACCUUGAUAAUCUUGCUUAUCAGUUCUAAUAAUUUUUAGUGGAUUCAUUAUUUUCUAUGUACAAGAUUAUGUCAUCUGCCAAUACAGAUAUUUUUUUUCUUGUCUUAUUUUCCUGGUGAGAAUCUCCAGUACACAUUGACUAGAGGUGGUAAGAGUGAACAUUCUUCCUUUGACCCUAGGAAGAAACCAUGCAGUCUUUCACCAUUAAGUAUGAUGUUAGCUAUAAGAUUCUUGUAGAUCCCCUUUAUUAGAAUAAGGAAGUUUUCCUCUACACUUAUGUUUUAUGACUAUUUUAUCAUAAUGGGUAUUGGAUUUAUCAAAUGCUUUCUCUGCUUCUAUUGAGAUGACUAUGUAAUUUUUUUGUCUUAUUUAUAUAUUUAUAUUUAUUUAUAUAUCUAAAUUAUUGUUUUUUGUUAUAAAUAUUUAUAUAAUAUAUAUAACAUAUAUAAAUUAACUGAUAAGAGAUUUGGGUGAGGACACAGCCAAACCAUCCUGAAUUCCCACUUAUUGUAGGAGGGACCCAGUGGAAGGUUAUUGAAUCUUGGGGGCAAGUCUUUCCCAUGCUGUUCUCAUGAUAGUGAAUAAGUCUUAUUAGAUCUAAUGAUUUUAUAAAGAGGAGUUUCCCUGCACAAGCUCUCCCUUUUUGCCUUCUGCCAUCCAGGUAAGACGUGUCUUGCUCCUCCUUGCCUUCCAUCAUGAUUUUGAGGCCUCCCUAGCCAUGUGGAACUGUAAGUCCAUUAAACCUCUUUCAUUUGUAAAUUGCCCAGUUCCAGGUAUGUCGCUAACGGCAGUGUGAAAACAGACUAAUACAAUAAUGUAAUAUAAUAAAUAAUUAAAUAAACAUAAUAAUUUAGUUAAU